rnacentral:rRNA from 1 species
CUUAACCUGGGAACGGCAUUUCGAACUGUCAGGCUAGAGUAUGGUAGAGGGUAGUGGAAUUUCCUGUGUAGCGGUGAAAUGCGUAGAUAUAGGAAGGAACACCAGUGGCGAAGGCGGCUACCUGGACCAAUACUGACACUGAGGUGCGAAAGCGUGGGGAGCAAACAGGAUUAAAUACCCUGGUAGUCCACGCCGUAAACGAUGUCUACUAGCCGUUGGGACUCUUGAAGUCUUAGUGGCGCAGCUAACGCACUAAGUAGACCGCCUGGGGAGUACGGCCGCAAGGUUAUAAACUCAAAUGAAUUGACGGGGGCCCGCACAAGCGGUGGAGCAUGUGGUUUAAUUCGACGCAACGCGAAGAACCUUACCUGGCCUUGACAUGCAGAGAACUUUCCAGAGAUGGAUUGGUGCCUUCGGGAACUCUGACACAGGUGCUGCAUGGCCGUCGUCAGCUCGUGUCGUGAGAUGUUGGGUUAAGUCCCGUAACGAGCGCAACCCCUAUCCCUAGUUGCUAGCAGUUCGGCUGAGAACUCUAGGGAGACUGCCGGUGACAAACCGGAGGAAGGUGGGGACGACGUCAGGUCAUCAUGGCCCUUACGGCCAGGGCUACACACGUGCUACAAUGGUGCGCACAGAGGGCUGCAAACCCGCGAGGGGGAGCCAAUCUCACAAAACGCAUCGUAGUCCGGAUCGCAGUCUGCAACUCGACUGCGUGAAGUCGGAAUCGCUAGUAAUCGUGAAUCAGAAUGUCACGGUGAAUACGUUCCCGGUCUUUGUACACACCAUCCGUUUCUCCACCAA